rnacentral:rRNA from 1 species
AUUGAACGCUGGCGGAAUGCUUUACACAUGCAAGUCGAACGGCAGCACGGACUUAGGUCUGGUGGCGAGUGGCGAACGGGUGAGUAAUGUAUCGGAACGUGCCCAGUCGUGGGGGAUAACGUAGUGAAAAUUACGCUAAUACCGCAUACGAUCUAUGGCUCAAAGCGGGCGAUCGCAAAACCACGCGCGAUUGGAGCGGCCGAUAUCAGAUUAGGUAGUAGGUGGGGUAAAGGCCCACCAAGCCAACGAUCUGUAGCUGGUCUGAGAAGACGACCAGCCACACUGGAACUGAGACACGGUCCAGAAUCCUACGGGAGGCAGCAGUGGGGAAUUUUGGACAAGGGGCGAAAGCCUGAUCCAGCCAUUCCGCGUGCAGGAUGAAGGCCCUCGGGUUGUAAACUGCUUUUGUACAGAACGAAAAGGUUUCUACUAAUACUAGGAGCUCAUGACGGUACUGUAAGAAUAAGCACCGGCUAACUACGUGCCAGCCGCCGCCGUAA